UGGGGAAUAUUGCACAAUGGGGGAAACCCUGAUGCAGCAACGCCGCGUGGAGGAUGACGCAUUUCGGUGUGUAAACUCCUUUUAUAAGGGAAGAUAAUGACGGUACCUUAUGAAUAAGCACCGGCUAACUCCGUGCCAGCAGCCGCGGUAAUACGGAGGGUGCAAGCGUUACUCGGAAUCACUGGGCGUAAAGGAUGUGUAGGCUGUAAUAUAAGUCAGAAGUGAAAUCCAACGGCUUAACCGUUGAACUGCUUUUGAAACUGUUUUACUAGAAUAUGGGAGAGGUAGAUGGAAUUGGUGGUGUAGGGGUAAAAUCCGUAGAUAUCACCAGGAAUACCGAUUGCGAAGGCGAUCUACUGGAACAUUAUUGACGCUGAGACAUGAAAGCGUGGGGAGCAAACAG
rnacentral:rRNA from 1 species